CAGCACCUCAAGUGGUCAGGAUGAUUAUUGGGCCUAGAGCAUCCGUAGCCGGCUCUGUAAGUUUUCGGUUAAAUCUGUAUGCUCAACAUACAGGCUGCCGGGAAUACUGCAGCGCUAGGGAGUGGGAGAGGUAGACGGUACUCGGUAGGAAGGGGUAAAAUCCUUUGAUCUAUUGAUGACCACCUGUGGCGAAGGCGGUCUACCAGAACACGUCCGACGGUGAGGGAUGAAAGCUGGGGGAGCAAACCGGAUUAGAGACCCGAGUAGUCC
rnacentral:rRNA from 1 species